GAUCAUGGCUCAGGAUGAACGCUGGCGGCGUGCUUAACACAUGCAAGUCGAACGGGGAAUUUUUAGUAAGAGAGCUUGCUCGAUUACAGGGAAUUCCUAGUGGCGGACGGGUGAGUAACGCGUGGGCAACCUGCCCUGUACAGGGGGAUAGCAGUUAGAAAUGACUGAUAAAACCGCAUAAGCGCACGGAAUCGCAUGAUUCAGUGUGAAAAAACUCCGGUGGUACAGGAUGGGCCCGCGUCCGAUUAGCCAGUUGGCGGGGUAACGGCCCACCAAAGCGACGAUCGGUAGCCGGCCUGAGAGGGCGACCGGCCACAUUGGGACUGAGACACGGCCCAAACUCCUACGGGAGGCAGCAGUGGGGAAUAUUGCACAAUGGGGGAAACCCUGAAUGCAGCGACGCCGCGUGAAGGAAGAAGUAUUUCGGUAUGUAAACUUCUAUCAGCAGGGAAGAUGAUGACGGUACCUGACUAAGAAGCCCCGGCUAACUACGUGCCAGCCGCCGC
rnacentral:rRNA from 1 species